GGGCAAUUGUUAGGACAACUUUAUUUUAUUUCAAAGUAAAUAACAAUAAUUAUACACAAAUACAAUCUGCAGUCGGUUGUUGUUUUUUUUGUGCAAAAACUGUGAUUUUCCGCCUUGUUUGACAAGUGGAUGGCGGCAACAAGUACCUGAUACUACUAUCGGUGAUAUUAAAUAAGUUUAAUUGGGCCUCAGUGUCGCGUAC
rnacentral:lncRNA from 1 species